rnacentral:misc_RNA from 1 species
ACAGAGUACCAGUGAGCUGCUUUCUUUGGUCAGCAAACCCCCCGGCUCUGUGGAGGAUGGAGAAGAGGUUGAUCAGGCUGCUGGAAGCCCUAGCAUUUAUAGUAGGAGUCCUGUUAGAGCUCCUCUUGGCGUCCCUUUGAACACUAAAGGGGCACGAAAAGUACUGUGUAAUCGCUUGGCAUCUUCUUAUCGUAUGGGGACA